GGCUGUAUAGUGUAGUGGUUUAGCACUCGGGAUUUUGAUUCCCGCAACCCCGGUUCGAACCCGGGUACGGCCU
rnacentral:tRNA from 1 species